GAUGAACGCUGGCGGCGUGCCUAAUACAUGCAAGUCGAGCGAACAGAUAAGGAGCUUGCUCCUUUGACGUUAGCGGCGGACGGGUGAGUAACACGUGGGUAACCUACCUAUAAGACUGGGAUAACUUCGGCAAACCGGAGCUAAUACCGGAUAACAUUUGGAACCGCAUGGUUCUAAAGUGAAAGAUGGUUUUGCUAUCACUUAUAGAUGGACCCGCGCCGUAUUAGCUAGUUGGUAAGGUAACGGCUUACCAAGGCAACGAUACGUAGCCGACCUGAGAGGGUGAUCGGCCACACUGGAACUGAGACACGGUCCAGACUCCUACGGGAGGCAGCAGUAGGGAAUCUUCCGCAAUGGGCGAAAGCCUGACGGAGCAACGCCGCGUGAGUGAUGAAGGGUUUCGGCUCGUAAAACUCUGUUAUUAGGGAAGAACAAACGUGUAAGUAACUGUGCACGUCUUGACGGUACCUAAUCAGAAAGCCACGGCUAACUACGUG
rnacentral:rRNA from 1 species